rnacentral:lncRNA from 10 species
CCUGUGACAAAAACAAUUAAAAGUUUAAGAACUGAGUGGUGGAAGUAGGAUAGUCCUUAUCAACAUCUUUCUCCCUGACCUACAGAUAAAUAUAUGUUCCUGUCACCACACACUUAGACCGAAGUAAGUCCUGAAGCAGGAAAUCAGUGAGUUUCACAGCUUUCUGAGCCACUACGCAACCCAGGAAGCCCAGAUGGCCCCUCCUUUCAGUAUCAUCAAUCAGAGCUUAAGGAGGGCAAGAUACUUGAAGUCUAACUCACCAAGAGGAUGAAGUUCUCAUCAUUCCAUCUGACGAACAAGCGAGAACUAGCCAAGUGCUGGCCAAAGGUGAGUCAAAUCUAGAAUGACUGAUAAAGGAAGAAGAUGAUAAAUAUCAGUUUUGCUUCUGGGACCACCUGCAGUAACAAGGACUCCAUCUUGUUUGCUAACAUUUUUUAUGUCUCUGGAGGAGACUGAAAUUGACAACUACUUUGAAGAACUGAACUUGUUCCUUCUUUUCUGAGAAAGAAGCAAGGGUCUCUUUUUCUAAUAACAGCUUUGGGUACCAUAUAAAGGCAUAAGUGCUAUUUAAUUGGUAUGAAGGGUAAACUAAUAAAGAUUCAGUUCACGUACCACCCAGAAUAACUUGGAUCUCAUUCAUUUUCCUGCCUUAGCUGCAGUGACUGACUCUCAUCUCUGAACACGAGGAGCGGUCUCGGAGUAGUCAUGGACCCAGAAAUGGGUCUCAGGCAAGGCCACUGUUGUGCCCUCCUAAGCAUGAGCUGUAGCAACGUCAGCAUCCAGUCCAACUGGGCUAAACUCGGGUCCAGCUGGGAACUUCUGUGCCCCUAGGGGCCCAGAUCUGGUGAAUUAUUUUUCUACAAAGAUUUUUAUUAAUAAGAGACUGGAGAUACUACAUAGAUGCGUCUUUCUCUUCUUCCCUCAAGGAACUGAUCUGCUAUCUGUGGUUCUGAGUAAACUCAUAGACAUAUCACACGACAGAGAAAUCCUAUUUGUUUUCUUUGAAACUAUGCUCAGUUUAAUAAAACCCUACCUUUUAUUUUCUGUCCUUUUUUCAUAUUCUUGCUUUUGUCUGAUUUUCAUGCCACCAAUAAAAA